rnacentral:rRNA from 1 species
AGGGAAACCGAGUCUUAACUGGGCGUUAAGUUGCAGGGUAUAGACCCGAAACCCGGUGAUCUAGCCAUGGGCAGGUUGAAGGUUGGGUAACACUAACUGGAGGACCGAACCGACUAAUGUUGAAAAAUUAGCGGAUGACUUGUGGCUGGGGGUGAAAGGCCAAUCAAACCGGGAGAUAGCUGGUUCUCCCCGAAAGCUAUUUAGGUAGCGCCUCGUGAACUCAUCUUCGGGGGUAGAGCACUGUUUCGGCUAGGGGGUCAUCCCGACUUACCAACCCGAUGCAAACUGCGAAUACCGAAGAAUGUUAUCACGGGAGACACACGGCGGGUGCUAACGUCCGUCGUGAAGAGGGAAACAACCCAGACCGCCAGCUAAGGUCCCAAAGUCACAGUUAAGUGGGAAACGAUGUGGGAAGGCUCAGACAGCCAGGAUGUUGGCUUAGAAGCAGCCAUCAUUUAAAGAAAGCGUAAUAGCUCACUGGUCGAGUCGGCCUGCGCGGAAGAUGUAACGGGGCUAAACUGUGCACCGAAGCUGCGGCAGCGACGCUUAUGCGUUGUUGGGUAGGGGAGCGUUCUGUAAGCCUGCGAAGGUGUCCUGUGAGGGAUGCUGGAGGUAUCAGAAGUGCGAAUGCUGACAUAAGUAACGAUAAUGCGGGUGAAAAGCCCGCUCGCCGGAAGACCAAGGGUUCCUGUCCAACGUUAAUCGGGGCAGGGUGAGUCGACCCCUAAGGCGAGGCCGAAAGGCGUAGUCGAUGGGAAACGGGUUAAUAUUCCCGUACUUGGUGUUAC